rnacentral:rRNA from 1 species
AUUGAACGCUGGCGGCAUGCUUUACACAUGCAAGUCGAACGGUAACAGGCCGCAAGGUGCUGACGAGUGGCGAACGGGUGAGUAAUGCAUCGGAACGUGCCCAGUCGUGGGGGAUAACGAAGCGAAAGCUGUGCUAAUACCUCAUACGACCUAUGGAUGAAAUCGGGGGACCGUAAGGCCUCGCGCGAUUGGAGCGGCCGAUGUCAGAUUAGGUAGUUGGUGGGGUAAAGGCUCACCAAGCCAACGAUCUGUAGCUGGUCUGAGAGGACGACCAGCCACACUGGGACUGAGACACGGCCCAGACUCCUACGGGAGGCAGCAGUGGGGAAUUUUGGACAACGGGCGCAAGCCUGAUCCAGCAAUGCCGCGUGCAGGAAGAAGGCCUUCGGGUUGUAAACUGCUUUUGUACGGAACGAAAAGGUUUGGGUUAAUACCCUGGGCCGAUGACGGUACCGUAAGAAUAAGCACCGGCUAACUACGUGCCAGCCGCCGCCGUAA